UACAGAGGUGGCAAGCGUUGUUCGGAAUUACUGGGCGUAAAGGGCGCGUAGGCGGCCUUCUAAGUCGGACGUGAAAGCCCCAGGCUUAACCUGGGAACUGCGUCCGAUACUGGGAGGCUUGGAUUCGGGAGAGGGAUGUGGAAUUCCAGGUGUAGCGGUGAAAUGCGUAGAUAUCAGGAGGAACACCGGUGGCGAAGGCGGGUCUCUGGGCCGAUACUGACGCUGAGGAGCGAAAGCGUGGGGAGCGAACAGG
rnacentral:rRNA from 1 species